rnacentral:lncRNA from 1 species
CGGCAACGGUUAGCUCACCACCACCUACGCCUAAGUCGUCACCUCCACCUGCUCCUGUGAGCUCACCACCUCCAGUGGUGAAGUCUUCUCCACCACCGGCACCAGUCAGCUCACCACCACCGACACCUAAGCCAUUACCUCCACCUGCUCCUGUGAGCUCACCACCUCCGGUGGUGAAGUCUUCUCCACCGCCGACACCAGUCAGCUCACCACCACCGACACCUAAGCCAUUGCCUCCACCUGCUCCUGUGAGCUCACCACCUCCAGUGGUGAAAUCUUCUCCACCACCGGCACCAGUCAGCUUACCACCACCGACGCCUAAGCCAUCUCCACCACCUACUCCUGUGAGCUCACCACCUCCAGUAGUAAAGUCUUCUCCACCACCAACACUAGUCAGCUCACCACCACCAGCACCUAAGUCAUUACCUCCACCUACUCCCGUGAGCUCGCCGCCUCCAGAAGUGAAGUCCUCUCCUCCACCAACCCCAGUUAGCUCACCACCACCAGCGCCGAAGUCGUCACCUCCACCUACUCCAGUGAGCUCGCCACCUCCAGAACUGAAGUCCUCUCCACCACCAGCCCCAGUUAGCUCACCAC